rnacentral:lncRNA from 1 species
ACCUUUGGUUAAUCAAUGAAAUUAAGGCAAAAAUCAUGAAAUUCCUUGACUGUAAUGAGAACAAAGAUACAACAUGCCAGAAUGUCUAGGAAACAGCUAAAGCAGUGUUAAGAGGAAAGUUUAUAGUGCUUAAUGCCCACAUGGAAAAGUCUGAAAGAUCUCAAAUUAACAACCUAACAUCAUCACCUAGGUGAACUAGAGAAACAAGAGCAAACCAACCCAAAAGCUAGCAGAAGACAUGAAAUAGCCAAAAUCAGAGCUGAACUUAAGGAAAUCAAGACUGGAAGAAACAUACAAAAAGAAAUAAAAGUAUCUAGAUAGUAAGAGAGGCCAUCAAACU